rnacentral:rRNA from 1 species
AGCGAACGCUGGCGGCAGGCCUAACACAUGCCAGUCGAACGAACCUUUCGGGGUUAGUGGCGGACGGGUGAGUAACACGUGGGAACGUGCCUUUAGGUUCGGAAUAACUCAGGGAAACUUGUGCUAAUACCGAACGUGCCCUUCGGGGGCAAGAUUUAUCGCCUUUAGAGCGGCCCGCGUCUGAUUAGCUAGUUGGUUGAGGUAAUGGCUCACCAAGGCGACGAUCAGUAGCUGGUCUGAGAGGAUGAUCAGCCACAUUGGGACUGAGACACGGCCCAAACUCCUACGGGAGGCAGCAGUGGGGAAUCUUGCGCAAUGGGCGAAAGCCUGACGCAGCCAUGCCGCGUGAAUGAUGAAGGUCUUAGGAUUGUAAAAUUCUUUCACCGGGGACGAUAAUGACGGUACCCGGAGAAGAAGCCCCGGCUAACUUCGUG